GAGAGGGCGCACUUCCGGGUUUCAGACAAGGCGUGGGGGGUGGGUGACGCGGCGGGAGGGGCUGACGUUUUCCGUGCAGCAGGUGCGGCGGCUUAGAGCACUCACCGAGAACGAGAGACGUGACACAAGAGGUCCCAAGGGAGCAAACCUGAAAGCCAGCGCCACCUGAACACACAGACUGCCAGGGGGUGAGAUGAUAUUCGCCACUGUUUCCAGAUAGAAGAAGCAUCGCUUUCUUCAGCAGAUUGAUAGAUGAAGCAUAAAACAAGACCAGAUGCUGUGGUUUCCAGGAUGCACUUGGCUUCCCAUGCUUUAUAACCUGGAGCAUUUAUUGCUGUCCAUUCCUGAUGUGUCCACCAGAGACCAGUCUCAUCAGGCUCACAGCGGACACUCCUACAGUGUUUACCACGUGCCAGGCUUGUUCUGAGUGCUGCAUAGCUCCGCACCUAACCCUUAGAACAGCCCCAUCCGCUAGAACUAGUACUGUCCCCAUGAGACGCUGGAUGACCCUGGCCUGCAGGGAGAUGGACCAGCUUGCCAAAGAUCUCACAACUGGUAUGCGGCAGAGCAAAAUUUGAAAGCAGACCGUCUGGCUCUGGAAACUGUGCUUUUAACCUCCACGCCAAAUAGCUGCUCAAGGAAUUUAUGGUCUGAGUAUACAUGGGAGACGGGUUCAGCAUCAGUUUACGCCCAGUUUUUGCUUUUAUAUUAUAAACCCCGAGGACUAUCAUUCACGUACAUCAAUAAGUAGAUGACGGUUGGAAUAAAUUGAGGCAUCAUGAGUCUCCAUCAACCAAGGUGGUACAAAAACAGCACUCUACUUGGUUUGUGUUCUGUGCCCUGAAGCAGAAAUGCGUUUAAUUGUUCAUUGCAAAAUAAACAGAUGUCUAGAGGAGAAGGUUAUUAAAAAUAUUUUGUGCAGUUUGGAAGAACUAGAGGUCAGGAUUGCUUGACCUAGCGUCUCCAAGCAAACCCCAAGUCAAGUAAGCUGCCAAGGUGACCUAGGAAGAGGGUGGCCCUAUGAGCUCUAGCAGCCAAUGGCCUGGGACCGCACCCUGGGAGGCAGCCAAGACAAAGAAUCCAAUCCAGGAUCCUGCGUUUGCAUUUAGUUGCUGUACCUCCUUGGUCUGGGAAGGAGACUCUCAGUGGAGGCUCUGAGGGUCAUGAGGAAGUCGUAUUGCAGGCUGGAGAAGUGGUGCUGUGUAGUAGCAAAGUGUUUGGCAUCCCUUGUGAGCAGUAAAACACAGAAGACAGAAAAUGUACCUAAUGAACUUGUAGAUCUGGCAAAGGGGAGUUUCAAGCUGCACGUUCAGAGUAUCAGUUGGCUUCUUUUAGUGAUGUGUGAUGGUGUUACUAGAGAGAGAGAGAGAGAUGUGUUAAAAAAGGAACUAUUCCGUUUUCAAGCAGAAUGUAGAGGAAAUAGGGCCUUGGAGAUUCUGUGUUGUCAGCAACAGUCUCAAAGGAAGAAAUGGCCUUAGGGGCCUGCCUUUCGAAUGUGGCCUCGAGGUAAAAAUCCAAUCCAGACUAUGUUGAAGCCUCUACACAUUAAGAUGUUUCAUAGACCCUCUCAUCUAGCCAAAAGGGCUUCUAAGAAGAAUCUUCAGGGGAGUCCAACAGCAGCUACUUCGACAAGGCCCAAAGUAGACAGAAGUUUGUUCUUGGAAGAAUUAUACAUGUUGCUUUGUGGGCAGAGUUGUCGAGGGCAAGAAGUAAACUCUGUUAAGACUCAUAGGAAACCCUCAAAAUGUUGAAGACAGCUCUAUUGAUGAAACCACCGCUAGCAUGAACUAAAGAGGAAAGAGACAGUUCAAAACGUAAAAAACAAAACAAAACAAAAAAAAACCAUCGGGCCCCCAACUUUCUGUGGACAGGACCCAGGCCGAGAGAGCUGUUGGACCAUAAAGGGCAGGCAGUGGCUUAUGGACAAGGAAGCCUCAAAGGUCAUAGUCUGCACCCCGGAGCAGGGAGCCAGGAACAGUGGUUUGGGAAGCAGCUCCUGGGGAGAAGAACAAGCCCCUAAUGGUGGGGCGGUCUGGGUUCCCAGAGUGAGGGUGACAGUGCUCAGCUGGCUUUCAGAACUGCUAGGGCUGGUGGCUGCUCUGUGCCUUCUCGCUCCCCCGCUUUGAACACGAGUGUCUGUUGUAGUUAACUUAUCCCUGUCUCAGCAUCGUACGUUGUGUCUGUAACUCGUCUUUUCAGCUCACAGGUCUCUAGAGGAAGAGGAGCAGCAUCUAAAAUGCCUCCACCACACCUGGGCCUAGUGUCUACCAUUAGAUCCUGGUCCUUAGAGCCAGUGCUACACAGAACGACAGUGUGGGGGGAGGGAGUGUACUCCACAAGUCUGUGUGUGUGGGCGUGUGGGUGUGAAUUAUUGUGGCCAAAGGGUGGCUUAUGACAGAGUGUUUCCCCCUAUGACUGCCAACAGCUCCUCUCAUUCCAGACACUCCUUCCAUUAGGGAGUGUGGUCUCUUUCCUGUCCCCUUGGGUCUGGGCUGGCCCUGUGACUGCCUUUGGCCAGGAGAGUACAGGGAAAGUGAUGUUCUGGGACUUCCAAGCCCUGGCUUUCACUGACCUUGUAGCUUCCGCUUUUUCUUUCUUGGGAUCCAGGCUGUAAAGAAUAAGUUUAUAAAAAAGCCCAGGCUGGCCCACCGAAUGAUGAGCGAUCAUGCUGCCUGCCAUCUUGGCUGUUCCAGCCCCAGCCAAACUCACAGCUAGAGGUGACCACAUGUCUGACCCCAGCUGCGUCAUGGGAAGGCAGAAGAACCACCCAGCUGUGCCCUUCCCAAAUUGCAGAAUCGUGAGCAAAGAAGGGGUGGUGGUCCUUUUCAGGCACAGAGCUUAUGAUGGUUUGUUAGGCAGCAAUGGUCGUUGAAGCCAUUACCAAAUGUCAGGGUUCUUUUGACUGCUUUAACUUUACUCCAGGGGCUGUGAAGAGGUUGUAACAGUGUCAGAUAAAGAAGCCAAGUUUCAAGGAGACUCAGUUCCGUAAAGGCUGGACCCUAUAUGCCACAGUCACGGCUCUGUCCACAGAGCUUUGCACAGAAUGAACAUGUGAUAUAUGCCCAGAUAUAUGUUGAUUGGACAAUUAAAUGAAUGAAUGGAGAUUAAAGAUGCCACACCAUGAAAAAGAAAGACAAAAAAGAUACUCUAAACAGAGUUUGUCUCAUUCCCUUUUUUCUUUCAAAAAGGUGCUCUUCGUUUUCAGAAACAGUGAUGCCUUGGAAACCAGAAGGAUGUUCUGAAGGGAAAGAUUUGUAGGAGUGAGGCACAGGGCAACCUUGAAUCCUUCUCCAUGUCCCUCCUACACCUUGAAAAAAGAGGGCCACUCUGGGAAACACCUGGCAAAUGCCUCAACACCUGCUGGUAGAUACAAAUUAUUAUCUUUUUCUAUUCUUGGAAGAGCUAAAAGCAGAAUAUGUGUUCCAAAGGACUAUAGUUAGAGUUAAUACCAAAAGGACCAGAGUAGAAUAACCAAUAGCCAGUGUUAGGUUGGAGAGUAAAACAGUCAAUGCUGAUUUGUCAUGUUAGGUCUUCUCUUUCCCAUCACUCUCUGGUCCAAGUCACAAUUUCUGAAUGCAACUUGGACCCAGCACAUGCCUAUUCUGCUCUGUGGUUCUCCCAGGAAUACCUGGCCCCAUCCUCAUUUCUCUGAGAGUGAUAAUUUCAUAUAGCACACCUCUCUACUGGGACGUGAAAGGAGACCCAAGUGCUGUGUGCGAUAGCUCCAGGAGAGCUUAGAGACAAGAAGGGAAAGUUCUUUUUUAGGGUUACUUGCAGUGCCUUCUGGAGAAGUACCUUCUGGAGACAUGUCUUGGGCAAAACAUCUUUAUUUAAAAGAAUAGCAAUAUUACUACUGAGUAUCUACCCCAAAGAUACAAAUGUAGG